CCUGCAGACAGAACAGGGGGGCAGCGGUCGUCAUGGGAACCCUGAGGCGCAUCCUUUAGGCGGAUACGACGAACACAAACAAGCGCAAGCUGUGCAGCUGCAUGUCAUCCAAUAAUGAGGAACUACUGUACUACUCCUUGUGAUCAGUCACUUCUCUUUAGAGAUACAAAAGCACUUUUACUGGUGUGUUUUGGCUGUGAGGGGUUCCUGUUCAGGCCACAGAACCUGCCUGAGCUCCAUUCAGCUCCAUACCUGCGCUCAUCAGCACGUUGUGGGCCGUGGGGUGCCAGCUCAGGAUGCCCACGCGCUUGGAGUGGCCGUCCAGCUUGAUCACGGGCUCCGUGAGGGGCGCCGUCAGCCCGCCGUCCGGGAUCUCCCAGAUCUGUUCACCAACGCACACAUUUCACACACACACGGGGGUCACGGCCGGGUGGAAGCGGGCGCGUCCGAGCGGCUGUGGCGGUGGCGGUGGCCUCUUACCAUGACGCUGCAGUCCUCCGAGCCACUGGCGAUGAUGUUAUCGUUGUGAGGGCAAAACUCGAUGUCCAGGACUGGGCCCGUGUGGCCGCACACGUUGGGGUAGGACAUGUCGAUGCGCCCUGUCUGCAGAGAGAGCGGAUGAGGGGGACGUUACAGUAAACAGUACAGGACACGGCUCCUACAGGAGGCAAGGGAUGAGCUGGAGGAGGGCGACAGGCCUGUUCUAUAGCUACAGAAACGCCUCCAGCGCCUGCUUCCAUUGUGACAUUCAUUAAAACCUGACCUUUGA